rnacentral:tRNA from 1 species
GGCCCCUUCGUCUAGUGGUCUAGGACGCUGGCCUCUCACGCCGGCAACACGGGUUCGAGUCCCGUAGGGGUCA